AAGUUACCUGAUGUUUAUGCCGAGGUGUGUCUGUGCUGUCAGAUGUAACUGUGGACCCUGGUCAGAUAUAACAGUCGACCCUGGUCAGAUAUAACUGUGGACCCUGGUCAGAUAUAACAGUGGACCCUGGUCAGAUAUAACUGUGGACCCUGGUCAGAUAUAACUGUGAUGGAGGUCAGAUAUAACAGUCGACCCUGGUCAGAUAUAACAGUGGACCCUGGUCAGAUAUAACUGUGAUGGAGGUCAGAUAUAACAGUGAUGGAGGUCAGAUAUAACAGUGAUGGAGGUCAGAUAUAACAGUGAUGGAGGUCAGAUAUAACAGUGAUGGAGGUCAGAUAUAACAGUGAUGGAGGUCAGAUAUAACAGUGAUGGAGGUCAGAUAUAACAGUGAUGGAGGUCAGAUAUAACAGUGAUGGAGGUCAGAUAUAACAGUGGACCCUGGUCAGAUAUACCAGUGGACCCUGGUCAGAUAUAACAGUGAUGGAGGUCAGAUAUAACAGUGAUGGAGGUCAGAUAUAACUGUGAUGGAGGUCAGAUAUAACAGUGAUGGAGGUCAGAUAUAACAGUGAUGGAGGUCAGAUAUAACAGUGAUGGAGGUCAGAUAUAACAGUGAUGGAGGUCAGAUAUAACAGUGAUGGAGGUCAGAUAUAACAGUGAUGGAGGUCAGAUAUACCAGUGGACCCUGGUCAGAUAUAACAGUGAUGGAGGUCAGAUAUAACAGUGAUGGAGGUCAGAUAUAACAGUGAUGGAGGUCAGAUAUAACCGUGAUGGAGGUCAGAUAUAACAGUGAUGGAGGUCAGAUAUAACAGUGAUGGAGGUCAGAUAUAACAGUGAUGGAGGUCAGAUAUAACAGUGAUGGAGGUCAGAUAUAACAGUGAUGGAGGUCAGAUAUAACAGUGAUGGAGGUCAGAUAUAACAGUGAUGGAGGUCAGAUAUAACCGUGAUGGAGGUCAGAUAUAACAGUGAUGGAGGUCAGAUAUAACAGUGAUGGAGGUCAGAUAUAACAGUGAUGGAGGUCAGAUAUAACCGUGAUGGAGGUCAGAUAUACCAGUGGACCCUGGUCAGAUAUAACUGUGAUGGAGGUCAGAUAUAACAGUGAUGGAGGUCAGAUAUAACAGUGAUGGAGGUCAGAUAUAACCGUGAUGGAGGUCAGAUAUAACCGUGAUGGAGGUCAGAUAUAACAGUGAUGGAGGUCAGAUAUAACAGUGAUGGAGGUCAGAUAUAACAGUGAUGGAGGUCAGAUAUACCAGUGGACCCUGGUCAGAUAUAACAGUGAUGGAGGUCAGAUAUAACAGUGAUGAGGUCAGAUAUAACCGUGAUGGAGGUCAGAUAUAACAGUGAUGGAGGUCAGAUAUAACAGUGAUGGAGGUCAGAUAUAACAGUGAUGGAGGUCAGAUAUAACAGUGAUGGAGGUCAGAUAUAACAGUGAUGGAGGUCAGAUAUAACAGUGAUGAGGUCAGAUAUAACCGUGAUGGAGGUCAGAUAUAACAGUGAUGGAGGUCAGAUAUAACAGUGAUGGAGGUCAGAUAUAACAGUGAUGAGGUCAGAUAUAACCGUGAUGGAGGUCAGAUAUAACAGUGAUGGAGGUCAGAUAUAACAGUGAUGGAGGUCAGAUAUAACAGUGAUGAGGUCAGAUAUAACAGUGAUGGAGGUCAGAUAUAACCGUGAUGGAGGUCAGAUAUAACAGUGAUGGAGGUCAGAUAUAACCGUGAUGGAGGUCAGAUAUAACAGUGAUGGAGGUCAGAUAUAACAGUGAUGGAGGUCAGAUAUAACAGUGAUGGAGGUCAGAUAUAACAGUGAUGGAGGUCAGAUAUAACAGUGAUGGAGGUCAGAUAUAACAGUGAUGGAGGUCAGAUAUAACAGUGAUGGAGGUCAGAUAUAACAGUGAUGGAGGUCAGAUAUAACAGUGAUGGAGGUCAGAUAUAACAGUGAUGGAGGUCAGAUAUAACCGUGAUGGAGGUCAGAUAUAACAGUGAUGGAGGUCAGAUAUAACAGUGAUGGAGGUCAGAUAUAACAGUGAUGGAGGUCAGAUAUAACAGUGGACCCUGGUCAGAUAUAACAGUGAUGGAGGUCAGAUAUAACAGUGAUGGAGGUCAGAUAUAACAGUGA